AGUUAGCUGUCAAACCCCGCACAACAGUGCAUGUAAACUCUACUCAUGGAAAGUUUAAAAAGGCUUCUAUAUUUAUAACGAACGGUACGCAAAGUUAAGUCCUUAUUUUGUGCUAAUGUGGGUGUGUUUGUCUAUUAACGCACCAAGGAAUCUCCUGGGCAACGCAAAGAAGUAGAUGAGAGCAGUCAUGUCUACUGACAGCUACGAUAACAAUGCGGCUUUUAAUGGUGAUGCUGAUAAUUAUGAUGUUUCUAACGAUGGUUGGCUAGUGCGUUGGCAUCGAUGAGGCAAACCCUUUUGAGGAUAUUUAAGGAGUAUAAAGUUGUUUGGAAUAAUGGAUAAAUAUGUGUCGUGUUACGUUAACUGUACACACCCACGAUGGCCUGCAAUCCAUCAAUUCAAACCCAAUAUGGCAGCAACAUUUUGAGACAUUUACCCCUCAUCUAUCACUGAAGGAAGUGAGACGUGCCAUAUGUUACAAAAGCCCAUUUCCCACGACUCAGCAGUCAAGGGUGAUUUAGCACAUGCUGCCUACGUCCUAGCCAUCUUAAAUGUCAUUCAUAUAUUAUCGCUAAGCUACAUAUUGGAAUUGAUUUUGCAAGAAUUCCGCAAGACCCCCCAUUAAGCCGCUUGUGUGCAAACGUUGCAGGUAGUUGCCACGCCUAAACCGACUAACGAUAUGUUGGACACCUCAGUCUGACUGAUUCGUGUCACUCUUCUACCACCUUACUGGGCACAUCGAGUGUCACGUAGUUCAAGAUUUAGUUGAACAUAGAUUCAAAUGGCACGUGGCCAUGACCAUGAACCUAACUCGAGUGCAUGCACUAAAGACGCAAGCAGCAAGAAGUCUGCCAGGCUGUGUGUCCGUCAAAGGCGGAAGAAGAUUUAAUCGUCAUCGUUCAACAAAGUGAUGAUAAUCCUUUAUGAGACAUAAAUACUAUUGACUCCUCGCGAGCGAGAUAUCAUCAUUAAAGAGAGUAGACCAGCACAAAAUGUGUACAUUUGAAUGGGGAAAGUGGUCGGGGAGAGGGACCCCUACUCCACUUAUUUUUCCACAGUUAUUGAACAAGCAUUUGCCCCUGUCGUGAACUCACUGGACUCCCUAACUUUUGCAACUUUCUUUGACAGCUUUUGUAAACUGAACUUUUUUGUGUCUUUCACUUAAAUCUAUCAUAAAUUGUGGCCAUUAUUUGCGAAGAGGCAACAACACACACACAGCACUGCCAUAAAUCAAUGCAGUUGCUCAACAUCCUGUCCCAUCAGUUUUAUCUCCGUAUCCUCCUUAUCUUCAUACGAACUCGGAACUAUAUAAGGAACUAUAAGGGACGGAACAGAGAGAAAAAUAAACUAUUUCCGGCUGCUUCGAGAUGAGAAACAUGUGCGUGUUUUAAAACCAUAUUACGGCAAUCAAUGCGAAAGAGCAUAGAAAAUUUAUAAAACUCUCAGAAACGUCUUCAAGUUUCCUCCCAGAGAUGUAGUUGCAUGAGAAAUAUGAAAUAAUUGAAGCUUAAAUAUUUAUCAUAAAUUUAAAAUUUUUUUUUAUUUAUGUUGCUUGCUUGCAUUAAAAACAGAGAACUCCACAAAUCACCCAAACUGUAUUCCAGUUUGAACAUCUUACGGUCUAUGCUGACAGAAGUACGAGGAGUACGUUACACCCUAAACGGAAUUAGACUGUGCAUUUUGCUGAGUGAAGUCAACCCAAGCAAUUGUAGCGUCUAAAAAGUAGCGCCAACUCACAAUCAGACUUUACAUAAAAACAAAACAAAAGAAAAUUAAUGGAAAUUUAUGUUGGUAGCAAUAAGCCGAACAACUAAAUGAAACAUUUGGUGCAUGUGUGAUCGAGGAGCUAGCAAACAUUCUCGAUCAACCCCUAAGCAGACAAAAGGUGCAAAGUAAACAUCGAACUGGCAUAUUCGAACAAGAGGGUGGGAAGAGUUGAGUAGCUGAAACAUGCACGCAGACCCAGUUCGCUGAACUUUGAGCAAUUCUCCAGACUAUGGACAUAUUUGAUCUAUUGUGCUGCUCGAAAAGAAAAUCACGAAGAGCACAAAAUGCAUUUUGACAACAAUUUGCCAUCCUUGGUGCAAGGGACACAAUGCCAUACAGACAAGUUCGCCCGCAAACACUUGGAAUAUUGGCUACUUUAUUAAGAGAUUAUGGCGGCGCUCUAUUGUGAAUUAAAUUACACUAACUCUGGCACUUGUUAAUUUCGAAUAAACCCAACGUUGGCAGAGAAUACAAGCAGGAAA